UACGGAGGAUCCAAGCGUUAUCCGGAUUUAUUGGGUUUAAAGGGUGCGUAGGUGGCCUGGUAAGUCAGGGGUGAAAGACGGUAGCUUAACUAUCGCAGUGCCUUUGAUACUGCCGGGCUUGAAUGGACUAGAGGUAGGCGGAAUGUGACAAGUAGCGGUGAAAUGCAUAGAUAUGUCACAGAACACCGAUUGCGAAGGCAGCUUACUAUGGUCCGAUUGACACUGAGGCACGAAAGCGUGGGGAUCAAACAGG
rnacentral:rRNA from 1 species